UCCAGACUCCUACGGGAGGCAGCAGUGGGGAAUAUUGCACAAUGGGCGCAAGCCUGAUGCAGCCAUGCCGCGUGUGUGAAGAAGGCCUUCGGGUUGUAAAGCACUUUCAGCGGGGAGGAAGGCGGUGAGGUUAAUAACCUCAUCGAUUGACGUUACCCGCAGAAGAAGCACCGGCUAACUCCGUGCCAGCAGCCGCGGUAAUACGGAGGGUGCAAGCGUUAAUCGGAAUUACUGGGCGUAAAGCGCACGCA
rnacentral:rRNA from 1 species